rnacentral:rRNA from 1 species
GACGAACGCUGGCGGCGUGCUUAACACAUGCAAGUCGAACGGAAAGGCCCUGCUUGCAGGUUCCUCGAGUGGCGAACGUUUGAGUAACACGUGGGUGAUCUGCCCUGCACUUCGGGUUAAUCCUGGGAAACUGUGUCUAAUACCGGCUAGUAUCCAUUUUUCGUGUGAUGGUUGGAAAGUUUUUUCGGUGUAGGAUGAGCUCGCGGCCUAUCAGCUUGUUGGUGGGGUAAUGGCCUACUAAGGCGGCGACGGGUAGCCGGCCUGAGAGGGUGUACGGCAACAGUGGGACUGAGAUACGGCCCAGACUCCUACGGGAGGCAGCAGUGGGGAAGAUUGCACAAUGGGCGCAAGCCUGAUGCAGCGGCGCCGAGUGGGGGAUGACGGCCUUCGGGUUGUAAACUCCAUUCGCUAGGGACGAAGCAUUUUGUGACGGUACCUAGAGAAGAAGCACCGGCUAACUACGUG